rnacentral:rRNA from 1 species
GAUGAACGCUGGCGGCGUGCCUAAUACAUGCAAGUCGAGCGAACAGACAAGGAGCUUGCUCCUCUGACGUUAGCGGCGGACGGGUGAGUAACACGUGGAUAACCUACCUAUAAGACUGGGAUAACUUCGGGAAACCGGAGCUAAUACCGGAUAAUAUAUUGAACCGCAUGGUUCAAUAGUGAAAGACGGUUUUGCUGUCACUUAUAGAUGGAUCCGCGCCGCAUUAGCUAGUUGGUAAGGUAACGGCUUACCAAGGCAACGAUGCGUAGCCGACCUGAGAGGGUGAUCGGCCACACUGGAACUGAGACACGGUCCAGACUCCUACGGGAGGCAGCAGUAGGGAAUCUUCCGCAAAGGGCGAAAGCUUGACGGAGCAACGCCGCGUGAGUGAUGAAGGUCUUCGGAUCGUAAAACUCUGUUAUUAGGGAAGAACAAAUGUGUAAGUAACUAUGCACGUCUUGACGGUACCUAAUCAGAAAGCCACGGCUAACUACGUG